rnacentral:tRNA from 1 species
GCCGAAGUGGCGGAACUGGCAGACGCGACGGUCUCAAACACCGUUGAGGGCAACCUCGUCCGGGUUCAAGUCCCGGCUUCGGCACCA